AGCGAACGCUGGCGGCAGGCCUAACACAUUCAAUUCGAACUGACCCUUCGGGGUUAGUGGCGGACGGGUGAGUAACACGUGGGAACGUGCCUUUAGGUUCGGCAUAGCUCCUGGAAACGGGUGGUAAUGCCGAAUGUGCCCUUCGGGGGAAAGAUUUAUCGCCUUUAGAGCGGCCCGCGUCUGAUUAGCUAGUUGGCGAGGUAAAGGCUCACCAAGGCGACGAUCAGUAGCUAGUCUGAGAGGAUGACCAGCCACAUUGGGACUGAGACACGGCCCAAACUCCUACGGGAGGCAGCAGUGGGGAAUCUUGCGCAAUGGGCGAAAGCCUGACGCAGCCAUGCCGCGUGAAUGAUGAAGGUCUUAGGAUUGUAAAAUUCUUUCACCGGGGACGAUAAUGACGGUACCCGGAGAAGAAGCCCCGGCUAACUUCGUGCCAGCCGCCGCAGUAAAAC
rnacentral:rRNA from 1 species